rnacentral:rRNA from 1 species
AAUCAACGCUGGCGGCGUGCCUCAGACAUGCAAGUCGAACGAUUAAAGCUCUCUUCGGAGAGUGCAUAAAGUGGCGCACGGGUGAGUAACACGUAAGUAAUCUACCUUUGAGUGGGGAAUAACGUUCGGAAACGGACGCUAAUACCGCAUAACGCAGCGGCACCGCAAGGUGACAGUUGUUAAAGGAGCAAUCCGCUUGAGGAGGAGCUUGCGGCAGAUUAGCUAGUUGGUAAGGUAAUGGCUUACCAAGGCUACGAUCUGUAUCCGGUCUAAGAGGACGGUCGGACACACUGACACUGAAUAACGGGUCAGACUCCUACGGGAGGCAGCAGUCGGGAAUUUUGGGCAAUGGGCGAAAGCCUGACCCAGCAACGCCGCGUGAAGGAUGAAGUAUUUCGGUAUGUAAACUUCGAAAGAAUAGGAAGAAUUAAUGACGGUACUAUUUAUAAGGUCCGGCUAACUACGUG